rnacentral:rRNA from 1 species
AGUGAACGCUGGCGGUAGGCCUAACACAUGCAAGUCGAACGGCAGCACAGUAAGAGCUUGCUCUUACGGGUGGCGAGUGGCGGACGGGUGAGGAAUACAUCGUAAUCUACUUUUUCGUGGGGGAUAACGUAGGGAAACUUACGCUAAUACCGCAUACGACCUACGGGUGAAAGCAGGGGAUCUUCGGACCUUGCGCGAUUGAAUGAGCCGAUGUCGGAUUAGCUAGUUGGCGGGGUAAAGGCCCACCAAGGCGACGAUCCGUAGCUGGUCUGAGAGGAUGAUCAGCCACACUGGAACUGAGACACGGUCCAGACUCCUACGGGAGGGAGCAGUGGGGAAUAUUGGACAAUGGGCGCAAGCCUGAUCCAGCCAGACCGCGUGGGUGAAGAAGGCCUUCGGGUUGUAAAGCCCUUUUGUUGGGAAAGAAAAGCAGCAGGUUAAUACCCAGCUGUUCUGACGGUACCCAAAGAAUAAGCACCGGCUAACUUCGUG